UACGGGGGGGGUAAGCGUUGUUCGGAAUUACUGGGCGUAAAGGGCUCGUAGGCGGCCAACUAAGUCAUACGUGAAAUCCCUCAGCUUAACUGGGGAACUGCGUGUGAUACUGGAUGGCUUGGAUUUGGGAGAGGGAUGCGGAAUUCCAGGUGUAGCGGUGAAAUGCGUAGAUAUCAGGAAGAACACCGAUGGCGAAGGCAGCUCUCUGGGACGGUACUGACGCUGAGACGCGACAGCGUGGGGAGCAAACAGG
rnacentral:rRNA from 1 species